GUUAGGGAGCUUAUGAGCUCAGGGUAUUGCAGUAAAGUUGAAAAUUUUACUGUUGGGAGGUUUGGUUAUGGAUUUGUCGAAUUUUCUGGGGAAACAGAUGUUAGGGGGUUGGAUUUGGAUCGAAUUGUUAAGUUUAGCAGACAUGAGGUGAUUGUAUAUGAAGAUGAAAAUGACAAGCCCCCAGUUGGUAUGGGGCUUAACAAGCCUGCUGAAGUAACUUUGCUGCUGGAAGUACGGUCCUCCAAACACUAUGACGUGGAUUCUUCUAGAGGACUGGUGGAGAAAUUAAGACUUAGAACAGAGAAACAAGGAGCACGUUUUAUCUCAUUUGAUCUAUCAAAUGGAGAAUGGAAAUUCUUCGUUCAGCAUUUCAGCAGAUUUGGUUUGAAUGAUGAGGAAGAAGAUGAAGA
rnacentral:misc_RNA from 1 species